AUGGCGUCUCCGUCAGGACAGGGCAGAGGGAAGGACCCCCUGUCGCCAAGGGCGGCGAGGGCAAAGCUAGCGGAGGCCUUGGGGAAACUAGACAUCACCGACGAGGAGGCCACACCGCUUGUGCUGGAUGAUGCGGACGAGGGUAUGCCGGAGAAGUGGUUGCUGGCGGGGAAAGUGCUGCAUAGGAAUCUCCUACACAUCCAGACCAUAACCAAUGCGCUCCGUCCGGCUUGGGGAAACCCUAGAGGUUUGGAUUUCAAAUCUGUGGGGGAGAAUAUGUUCGUGGCUGAAUUUGCGAACAAGAGAGAUCGCGAUCGCGUUUGGCAAGGGGCGCCAUGGCAUGUGAGCAAACACGCAGUCAUCCUCUCAGAAUUUGACGAGUGCAUGCGCCCCUCCGAACUGCGUUUUGACAGACUUCAGAUGUGGGCUCGGGUUGUCAAUCUACCCUUCAACCUACGUAAUGAAAAGUGGUGUGCUGCAAUAGCCAAGCAGAUCGAUGAGCACGCUACUGAUGUGAACUUCGAUCAUGUUAAUGGCUACUUGAGGGCCAGGGUCACAGUGGAAGUGAGCAAGCCAUUGAGGCACUGGAUUGUGAUUGAAUCGGCCCGGAGGAAGAGUGUGGAUCCUUACGAUAUUCAGUAUGAGAACAUCCCGCACUCCUGCUUCUCAUGUGGCCGUCUAGGCCAUUCUGACCUGUAUUGCCCGACCCCGGGAACCAGAGAUGCAAAUGGUGACCUACCUUUUGGGAAGGGGCUGCGGGCUUCAGAUGAGCGCAAAAAAAGGAAGCUCCAGUGA
rnacentral:rRNA from 1 species